GUGGGGAAUCUUGCGCAAUGGGCGAAAGCCUGACGCAGCCAUGCCGCGUGAAUGAUGAAGGUCUUAGGAUUGUAAAAUUCUUUCACCGGGGACGAUAAUGACGGUACCCGGAGAAGAAGCUCCGGCUAACUUCGUGCCAGCAGCCGCGGUAAUACGAAGGGGGCUAGCGUUGCUCGGAAUUACUGGGCGUAAAGGGCGCGUAGGCGGACAGCUUAGUCAGAGGUGAAAGCCCAGGCUCAACCUUGGAAUUGCCUUUGAUACUGGCUGUCUUGAGUUUGGGAGAGGUGAGUGGAACUCCGAGUGUAGAGGUGAAAUUCGUAGAUAUUCGGAAGAACACCAGUGGCGAAGGCGACUCACUGGCCCAAUACUGACGCUGAGGCGCGAAAGCGUGGGGAGCAAACAGGAUUAGAAACCCUUGUAGUCC
rnacentral:rRNA from 1 species